rnacentral:tRNA from 7 species
GGUUCGUUAGCUCAGGUGGUAGAGCACAUGACUUUUAAUCAUGGUGUCCGGGGUUCGAGUCCCCGACGAAUCACCA